AUUGAACGCUGGCGGCAGGCCUAACACAUGCAAGUCGAGCGGAUGAAGGGAGCUUGCUCCUGGAUUCAGCGGCGGACGGGUGAGUAAUGCCUAUGAAUCGGCCUGGUAGUGGGGGAUAACGUCCGGAAACGGGCGCUAAUACCGCAUACGUCCUGUGGGAGAAGGUGGGGGAUCUUCGGACCUCACGCUAUCAGAUGAGCCUAGGUCGGAUUAGCUAGUUGGUGGGGUAAAGGCCUACCAAGGCGACGAUCCGUAACUGGUCUGAGAGGAUGAUCAGUCACACUGGAACUGAGACACGGUCCAGACUCCGACGGGAGGCCGCAGUGGGGACUAUUGGAAACUGGGCGAAAGCCUGCUCCAGCCAUGCCGCGUGUGUGAAGAAGGUCUUCGGAUUGUAAAGCACUUUACGUUGGGAGGACGGCCAGUAAGUUAAUACCUUGCUGUUUUGACGUUACCAACAGAAUAAGCACCGGCUAACUUCGUG
rnacentral:rRNA from 1 species